rnacentral:piRNA from 1 species
UAUGGAAAAGCAACUAUUGUU